rnacentral:rRNA from 1 species
GGCAAAUCCGGAAAAUCAAGGCUGAGGCGUGACGACGAGGCACUACGGUGCUGAAGCAACAAAUGCCCUGCUUCCAGGAAAAGCCUCUAAGCAUCAGGUAACACGAAAUCGUACCCCAAACCGACACAGGUGGUCAGGUAGAGAAUACCAAGGCGCUUGAGAGAACUCGGGUGAAGGAACUAGGCAAAAUGGUGCCGUAACUUCGGGAGAAGGCACGCUGACAUGUAGGUGAAGUGAUUUACUCAUGGAGCUGAAGUCAGUCGAAGAUACCAGCUGGCUGCAACUGUUUAUUAAAAACACAGCACUGUGCAAACACGAAAGUGGACGUAUACGGUGUGACGCCUGCCCGGUGCCGGAAGGUUAAUUGAUGGGGUCAGCGCAAGCGAAGCUCCUGAUCGAAGCCCCGGUAAACGGCGGCCGUAACUAUAACGGUCCUAAGGUAGCGAAAUUCCUUGUCGGGUAAGUUCCGACCUGCACGAAUGGCGUAAUGAUGGCCAGGCUGUCUCCACCCGAGACUCAGUGAAAUUGAACUCGCUGUGAAGAUGCAGUGUACCCGCGGCAAGACGGAAAGACCCCGUGAACCUUUACUAUAGCUUGACACUGAACAUUGAGCCUUGAUGUGUAGGAUAGGUGGGAGGCUUUGAAGUGUGGACGCCAGUCUGCAUGGAGCCGACCUUGAAAUACCACCCUUUAAUGUUUGAUGUUCUAACGUGGACCCGUGAUCCGGGUUGCGGACAGUGUCUGGUGGGUAGUUUGACUGGGGCGGUCUCCUCCUAAAGAGUAACGGAGGAGCACGAAGGUUGGCUAAUCCUGGUCGGACAUCAGGAGGUUAGUGCAAUGGCAUAAGCCAGCUUGACUGCGAGCGUGACGGCGCGAGCAGGUGCGAAAGCAGGUCAUAGUGAUCCGGUGGUUCUGAAUGGAAGGGCCAUCGCUCAACGGAUAAAAGGUACUCCGGGGAUAACAGGCUGAUACCGCCCAAGAGUUCAUAUCGACGGCGGUGUUUGGCACCUCGAUGUCGGCUCAUCACAUCCUGGGGCUGAAGUAGGUCCCAAGGGUAUGGCUGUUCGCCAUUUAAAGUGGUACGCGAGCUGGGUUUAGAACGUCGUGAGACAGUUCGGUCCCUAUCUGCCGUGGGCGCUGGAGAACUGAGGGGGGCUGCUCCUAGUACGAGAGGACCGGAGUGGACGCAUCACUGGUGUUCGGGUUGUCAUGCCAAUGGCACUGCCCGGUAGCUAAAUGCGGAAGAGAUAAGUGCUGAAAGCAUCUAAGCACGAAACUUGCCCCGAGAUGAGUUCUCCCUGAGACUUUAGGUCUCCUGAAGGAACGUUGAAGACGACGACGUUGAUAGGCCGGGUGUGUAAGCGCAGCGAUGCGUUGAGCUAACCGGUACUAAUGAACCGUGAGGCUUAACCUU